rnacentral:rRNA from 1 species
GAUGAACGCUGGCGGCGUGCCUAAUACAUGCAAGUCGAGCGAACAGACGAGGAGCUUGCUCCUCUGACGUUAGCGGCGGACGGGUGAGUAACACGUGGAUAACCUACCUAUAAGACUGGGAUAACUUCGGGAAACCGGAGCUAAUACCGGAUAAUAUAUUGAACCGCAUGGUUCAAUAGUGAAAGACGGUUUUGCUGUCACUUAUAGAUGGAUCCGCGCCGCAUUAGCUAGUUGGUAAGGUAACGGCUUACCAAGGCAACGAUGCGUAGCCGACCUGAGAGGGUGAUCGGCCACACUGGAACUGAGACACGGUCCAGACUCCUACGGGAGGCAGCAGUAGGGAAUCUUCCGCAAAGGGCGAAAGCUUGACGGAGCAACGCCGCGUGAGUGAUGAAGGUCUUCGGAUCGUAAAACUCUGUUAUUAGGGAAGAACAAAUGUGUAAGUAACUAUGCACGUCUUGACGGUAUCUAAUCAGAAAGCCACGGCUAACUACGUG